rnacentral:rRNA from 1 species
UGGGGAAUAUUGCACAAUGGGCGCAAGCCUGAUGCAGCCAUGCCGCGUGUGUGAAGAAGGCCUUCGGGUUGUAAAGCACUUUCAGCGAGGAGGAAGGUGGUGAGCUUAAUACGCUCAUCAAUUGACGUUACUCGCAGAAGAAGCACCGGCUAACUCCGUGCCAGCAGCCGCGGUAAUACGGAGGGUGCAAGCGUUAAUCGGAAUUACUGGGCGUAAAGCGCACGCAGGCGGUUUGUUAAGUCAGAUGUGAAAUCCCCGGGCUCAACCUGGGAACUGCAUUUGAAACUGGCAAGCUAGAGUCUCGUAGAGGGGGGUAGAAUUCCAGGUGUAGCGGUGAAAUGCGUAGAGAUCUGGAGGAAUACCGGUGGCGAAGGCGGCCCCCUGGACGAAGACUGACGCUCAGGUGCGAAAAGCGUGGGGCAGCAAACAGGAUUAGAUACCCUGGUAGUCCACGCUGUAAAACGAUGUCGAUUUUGGAGGUUGUGCCCCUUGAGGCGUGGCUUCCGGAGCUAACGCGUUAAAUCGACCG